GAGAUUAGUGGCGAACGGGUGAGUAACACGUGGGCAAUCUGCCCUGCACUCUGGGACAAGCCCUGGAAACGGGGUCUAAUACCGGAUAUGACACUGGAAGGCAUCUUCUGGUGUGGAAAGCUCCGGCGGUGCAGGAUGAGCCCGCGGCCUAUCAGCUUGUUGGUGGGGUGAUGGCCUACCAAGGCGACGACGGGUAGCCGGCCUGAGAGGGCGACCGGCCACACUGGGACUGAGACACGGCCCAGACUCCUACGGGAGGCAGCAGUGGGGAAUAUUGCACAAUGGGCGAAAGCCUGAUGCAGCGACGCCGCGUGAGGGAUGACGGCCUUCGGGUUGUAAACCUCUUUCAGCAGGGAAGAAGCGCAAGUGACGGUACCUGCAGAAGAAGCGCCGGCUAACUACGUGCCAGCAGCCGCGGUAAUACGUAGGGCGCGAGCGUUGUCCGGAAUUAUUGGGCGUAAAGAGCUCGUAGGCGGCUUGUCGCGUCGGAUGUGAAAGCCCGGGGCUUAACCCCGGGUCUGCAUUCGAUACGGGCAGGCUAGAGUUCGGUAGGGGAGAUCGGAAUUCCUGGUGUAGCGGUGAAAUGCGCAGAUAUCAGGAGGAACACCGGUGGCGAAGGCGGAUCUCUGGGCCGAUACUGACGCUGAGGAGCGAAAGCGUGGGGAGCGAACAGGAUUAGAUACCCUGGUAGUCCACGCCGUAAACGUUGGGAACUAGGUGUGGGCGACAUUCCACGUUGUCCGUGCCGCAGCUAACGCAUUAA
rnacentral:rRNA from 1 species